GUCUGCGAUACUCCGGCCCUGCCCCGCCCCUCUGCGCUCUGAUUGGCCUUUCCUUUGUGUUUUAAGUUCUGAAAUGCCCCUCCCUGUUCUCCAAUUGGCUUUCCCUGUUCCUACUUGGCUCCUCCCCUUAUCCUUUUAAGGCAUGGAACACAACACUUCUCUAAUUGGCUCCGCCCCUCAAUCCUUAUUAUCUGUAGCAAGCCACCCCCUCUUUCUAAUUAGAGCUUCCACGUGCCAGGCUAGGGGCUCGACCUCUAGGCCCCAGCUGAUGGGUCCAUCCCUGACCUUCAAGGCCCCGCCCCCUAUUCCCUGGCCGCGCGCUCGCCUUGGUUCUUACAAGGUGCACAGCUCAUCCGCCCGGCCUCGCAGCUCCUGUAGGCCCCGCGCGGUCUGCGCCUGCUCACGCUGCGCCCGCUCCCACUGGCCCAGGAAGCCGUCGAGCCUGCCGCCCAGGCCCCCGAGCAGCCGCAGGGCCUCCUGUACCGCCCCCUCCUCCUGAUGCCACCGGGCAGUCAGCGAGGACACCUCCCUCCUGGAGAGGCAGAGCUGCUGCUGGAGAUAACGCAGCUUCUCCUGGGCGGGGAAGGAAGGCGGGGUGACACGGUCCAGCCACUUGCCUCCCACGACCACCUCCACCCGCCAAUCUGCCCAAUGACUCCCCGAGAUUGGAAACUGGUGAUGGAGUCUUUGGCACGGACCAAUCCACUGUUGACCCCACUCUGGGGAAGAAUGGGAGAAGGCAGAAAAUGCUUUAGGACUCAUGCGAAGCAAACUGUGGCCCAAGAGGGAUGCAGGUGGCAGGAUCCACUGUCUACUCUUCACAUUUUUAGAUGACUUAGCCUGGCACACGACUGUCCAGGCAAAGACUACAUUUCCCAGGCUCCCUUGCACCCACACUUGCGACUCUAUAGCUGAACCUCCAGAACACGGAACCUGUAACGCACUUCAUUUGAAGAGUAAGCCUGCUACGCUUGUUGAGAUUAUUAUGUGAGAGAGAAAUAAAGUAUCUUGCCUAAGCCAGUUACUUUGGUGUCCUUCACAGUUGCUGAACUAGUAUGCAAAGAGAAAAGGGAGAACAAGUUUCCUCUAUCGUAAGAAAAGGACAACAUCACGUUCCUUGCAUGAUUGCUCUGGAGAAGAGGUGUGAUGAGAAAUAUCGUAUUGAGGCACCUGGGUGACUCAGUCGGCUGUGUCUGACUCUUGAUUUCCGCUUAGGU